CUUGUUUUCUUGGGAAUUUAACAAAAUCAAGUAAGCUUAAUUGAUCAAGCAAGAACAAAUAUCUGUCAAUAGUGUAUGAAAUUUUCAGACAUGCACUCUCAGACACCUGCACUUCCGGAAGUGACAUCACUUGCAGUCUGUUUUAUUUUUUAUUCUAUUCUAUUUAUUUAUUAUUUUUUAAUUGAAAAAAUAAUAAAUAAAUUUCUCAACAUUUUACAACAGUAGUUAGGUGGUAAAGACAAGAAAAAAGAAACAAAAUUACAGUGUCACUCGCAAUUGUCACUUUGAUCUCUACCUGCAAGCUCAUUUGCAAUCCACACAAAUGCUGCGCGUUGCCAAUGGGGAUAAGAUGCUGUGGUGGUUAAACGAUUAAAACGAAUUUAAUAGCAAAUCGUACAGGGUCCUGCAAGUCUUCUGUAGGAGAUAGUCUUCGGAGCUGGAGCGACAGAAGACUGAGGUGGAGCUGGAGGGAAGGAGGAGCCCAACAGAGCUGGAAGGAUGAAAGGACGAGGCGCAGCCGGAGGAGUGCAGUCCCGAGGUGGAGUUAGGGGGAUGACUGACCAAGGCGGAGCCGGAGGGAUGAGGGAGCCCGGUGGAGCUGCUGGACUGACGGGCUCCGGUGGAGACGAGGGAGCUGGAAGCCAUGGUGGAGCUGCUGGGUCGCAGGACUGAGGCAGUGUCUGGGCCUCGGAGGCUGGAGGCGACAUUGAGGGAUCCACCAGACUCGAUGCCAAUGGAGCUGGAGAUGGGCAGACCAACGGUAAUUCCAAAACAGGUAGAUCCACAACAGGAGGGUAGAAACACUCACGUACACAUUGACGAGACCAGACGACAAACACUGAACUGAAAUCAACUUAUAAA